GAUGAACGCUGGCGGCGUGCCUAAUACAUGCAAGUCGAGCGAAUGGAUUAAGAGCUUGCUCUUAUGAAGUUAGCGGCGGAUGGGUGAGUAACACGUGGGUAACCUGCCCAUAAGACUGGGAUAACUCCGGGAAACCGGGGCUAAUACCGGAUAACAUUUUGAACCGCAUGGUUCGAAAUUGAAAGGCGGCUUCGGCUGUCACUUAUGGAUGGACCCGCGUAGCAUUAGCUAGUUGGUGAGGUAACGGCUCACCAAGGCAACGAUGCGUAGCCAACCUGGGAGGAUGAUCGGACACACCGGGACUGCGACACGGCCCAGACACCUACGUGAGGCAGCAGUAGGGAAUCUUACGCAAUGGACGAAAGUCUGACGGAGCAACGCCGCGUGAGUGAUUAUGGCUUUCGGGUCGUAAAACUCUGUUGUUAGGCAAUAACAUGUGCUAGUUGAAUAAGCUGUCUCUUUGACGGUACCUAGGCAUAAAGCCAUGGCUAACUACGUGCCAGCAGCCGCAGUAA
rnacentral:rRNA from 1 species